ACUUUUUCAUCACCCCUAAAAGAAACCUGUCCCCACAGCAGCCACCUGCCGUCUCCCCCUCCCUGAGCCCUGACGGCCAGGAAUGCACUUCCCAUCUCUGGACUUGCCUGUUGUAGACUGUUGUAGACGCUUAGAGAAACGGAUGCAUUCACCGUGCCCCUGCCCUGCUUUUCCAGGUUUCUGAAGGGGCUGCAGGUGAGGCCGGCCCCUCUCUCAGCUGAGCUUCAGGCUGCGCUGGCCAUGGAGCCGACCCCCGGUGGGGUCAAAUACAUCAUUGUCACUCAGGUGGGGCCAGGGCCUCAAAUCCUGGAUGACCCCUGCGCCCACCUCCUGGGUCCUGACGGCCUGCCGAAGCCAGCUGCCUGACUGCCUCAGCAGGGACCGCAUGCCGCUUGGAGAAGGGGUGGCCUCGCCGGAGCUAGGGAGCGGAUGUGGUGGGCUGGCCGGACUCCUGGGACAUGUGGGUGGUGGCUUGACCCCGGGCCCAUGGGCAGCUUGCUGUGGGGCAGUGCAGGGAGUCCUGCGGCCGCCCAGGUG
rnacentral:lncRNA from 10 species